rnacentral:lncRNA from 1 species
UGUUGCCUUAGAAUUCACUGAGCUGAAAUGGAGUGAGAGCUAAGAUGCUCUCAGAAUAUUCUUAAAAUGACUGUGCUGCAAAGAAGCCCGGGUGAAUAGAAGAAAAUAGAAGGAAUGGUGGAUACAAGUGAAGGUUAAAAUGAGACCCCAUUUAUCGCACCAGCUGUUGGUGAUUUCAGCGCACCUUUCCAAGCCUCUUGAGAGUUCUGCUCUAACCACACUGCCCCCUAGUGUUCUCUCGCUUUGGUGCAACGUCCGUCUUGUACACUUCCUUCCACAGACCUGUAAUCAGCUAUUUCUUCAGGGAGCCUGUGAUUCCUUUUAGUGGAAAAUGGUUUCUCAUACUUCCGGAGAAAUAGAAAGCACCAGAUGACAGCCACCACACACUUUUGUCCCCAUUGCAAUAGGAUGCUUCUAACAAUCGUAAAAUUAUGAAACACUGAAUUCCUUAAAAGUUGUCCAUUUGUGGAUUUAUCUGAUGGUAACUAUUAAAUAUUUAAAAGUAACUUUAAUGAAUCUACUUAUGAUGAUUGAGUAAUCUAUUCUCUGAAUUCCACCAAAAAACCAUUUUAUGACCACAGUCAUAACGAACAUAUUUCUAUAGUCCUAAGCUGGCAAGAUAAAUAGAGAACAGUUCAUAAUAUAAACAAUAUAUUUAUUUAUUCCUAAACUAAUAAGAUGACUAUCAAUCUGUAAGAGACUAUGAAAAUCAAUACCGUAUACUUGGUAUAGUUGGUGAGAAUUUCAGGAGCAUGUUUGUUCUUUUAUUUGUGUUUUGGAAGAUACUUAGCCCACUUUUUUUUUUUUUUUUUUGAGAUGGAGUCUCACUCUUGUCGCCCAGGCUGGAGUGGAGUGGCAUGAUCUCGACUCACUGCAACCUCCACCUCCCAGGUUCAAGUGAUACUCCUGCCUCAGCCUCCCGAGUAGCUGGGACUACAGGUGCGCACCACCACACCCAGCUAAUUUCUGUAUUUUUAGUAGAGACGGGGUUUCACCAUGUUGGCCAGAUGGUCUCGAUCUCUUGACCUUGUGAUCUGCCCGCCUCGGCCUACUUAGCCAACUUUUAAGGACAAGUCCAGCCAUCCUUAUCCUUCACAGCAAAUAACAAACAUAGUGAUUUGUGGGGGUGAAGAGAUGUUGGUCAAGGGGUAUGAAAGUACAGUCAGAUAAAAGGAAUGUGUCCUAGAUUUGAUAGAAUACUAGGGAAAUUACAGUUAACAAAAAUUUAUUGUACACUUCAAAGUAGCUAGAAGCAAAGAACUGUAAUGUCCCCAACACAAAGAAAAGAUAAAUGUUUGGGGUGAUAAUAUCUCAAUUACUCUGAUUUGAUCAUUACACAUUGUAUGCAGGUAUCAAAAUAUCACAUAUCCCCCCAAAAUAUGUACAACUGUUGUAUAUUAAUAAAAAUAAAUACAAACAAAAAGACCCAAAUAGUUAUUAAUUAUAGUGUAAAUAUUAGACUAGAGCCAUUCUGGACAAGCACCUGUUCAACACCAUAUCCUCAUUUUCUGGCACCCAGUAGACACUGCGGAAGUAUUUUUGAUUGGUCCUGCAGAGGUUCUACCCCAACCUCACCAGGUGCAGGUGGAUGCCAGGUGCCAG